rnacentral:rRNA from 1 species
AUUGAACGCUGGCGGCAUGCCUUACACAUGCAAGUCGAACGGCAGCACGGGAGCAAUCCUGGUGGCGAGUGGCGAACGGGUGAGUAAUAUAUCGGAACGUGCCCAGUCGUGGGGGAUAACGCAGCGAAAGCUGUGCUAAUACCGCAUACGAUCUAUGGAUGAAAGCGGGGGAUCGCAAGACCUCGCGCGAUUGGAGCGGCCGAUAUCAGAUUAGGUAGUUGGUGGGGUAAAGGCUCACCAAGCCGACGAUCUGUAGCUGGUCUGAGAGGACGACCAGCCACACGGGAACUGAGACACGGUCCAGACUCCUACGGGAGGCAGCAGUGGGGAAUUUUGGACAAUGGGCGCAAGCCUGAUCCAGCAAUGCCGCGUGCAGGAUGAAGGCCUUCGGGUUGUAAACUGCUUUUGUACGGAACGAAAGGGCUCUGGUUAAUACCUGGGGCAUAUGACGGUACCGUAAGAAUAAGCACCGGCUAACUACGUGCCAGCCGCCGCCGUAA